rnacentral:lncRNA from 1 species
UGAUUCUCAUAUAAAAACAGAACUCAGAACUGGGAGGACUACAAUUUAGGCAAAUUUUGAGACUGGCUUUGUCCAUGGUUGUCUGAUUUAUUUCAGUUGUCACUUCACAAAUGCACUAAGUCUUUAUAAAUUGGCUGAACUCAUCAGGGCUAAAUUACAUGUGUUUUUAAAAGGUCUACCAACUGACCCUAACCUAACUGCCUUGUGCUCCAUGAUGUUCUGGCUCAGGUGGUCUCAGCCAAGCAGGCAAUUUCUUAUCUCCCAGGCUGUCUCAAACCUUGAUCUUUUCCAGUUGCAAGCCACUGGGCACUCAUCAUUUGUCUCUCUUGGAAUUACCCACACCAUGCUGCCAACUUGUAUCUGACUCCUCCUUCAAAGCCAUGCUCAACAUGUACAGUUGUGUUAAGUAGGUCGUCAGCCUGCCCAAAUACAUAUCAGCAUUCACCUACCUUCCUUUUCUAUGACGGCUUUGCUGCUUUUCUCUCAGUGAAGCAGUACAUUAAGUAAAAGUAGUGCAUUAAGCACUUUCCCUUGUAUUAAGUCUUUUUAAGUAAA